GUAACGGCGAGUGAAGCGGCAACAGCUCAAAUUUGAAAUCUGGCUUCGGCCCGAGUUGUACUUUGUAGAGGAUGCUUCUGGCGACGCGCCUUCCGAGUCCCCUGGAACGGGGCGCCGAAGAGGGUGAGAGCCCCGUACGGUUGGACGCCGAGCCUGUGUGAAGCUCCUUCGACGAGUCGAGUAGUUUGGGAAUGCUGCUCUAAAUGGGAGGUAAAUUCCUUCUAAAGCUAAAUACCGGCCAGAGACCGAUAGCGCACAAGUAGAGUGAUCGAAAGAUGAAAAGCACUUUGGAAAGAGGGUUAAAAAGUACGUGAAAUUGCUGAAAGGGAAGCGCUUGCGACCAGACUCGCGCCUGGCGGAUCAUCCAGCGUUCUCGCUGGUGCACUUCGCCUGGCACGGGCCAGCAUCGGUUCGGCGGGGGGGAUAAAAGCCCGGGAAACGUAGCUCCCUCCGGGGAGUGUUAUAGUCCCCCGCCCAAUGUUCCCUGCCGGACCGUGGACCGCGCCUUCGUGCAAGGAUGCUGGCGUAAUGGUCGUUAGCGACCCGUCUUGAAACACGGACCAAGGAGUCGAACAUUUGUGCAAGUGUUUGGGUGCAAAACCCUCACGCGUAAUGAAAGUGAACGGAGGUGGGAGCCUCGGCGCACCAUCGACCGAUCCUGAUGUUCUCGGAUGGAUUUGAGUAAGAGCAUAACUGUUCGGACCCGAAAGAUGGUGAACUAUGCCUGUGUAGGGUGAAGCCAGAGGAAACUCUGGUGGAGGCUCGCAGCGGUUCUGACGUGCAAAUCGAUCGUCAAACAUGGGCA
rnacentral:rRNA from 1 species